GAAACGGCUACCACAUCCAAGGAAGGCAGCAGGCGCGCAAAUUACCCAAUCCUGAUUCAGUGAGGUAGUGACAAUAAAUACUGAUACGGGGCUCUUUCGGGUCUCGUAAUUGGAAUGAGUACAAUCUAAAUCCCUUAACGAGGAACAAUUGGAGGGCAAGUCUGGUGCCAGCAGCCGCGGUAAUUCCAGCUCCAAUAGCGUAUAUUAAAGUUGUUGCCGUUAAAAAGCUCGUAGUUGAACCUUGGACCUGGCUGAUCUGUCCUCCUAAUCGAGCGUACGGAUUCGGUCGGGUCUUUUCUUCUGGGGAGCCUUAUGCCCUUCACUGGGUGUAAUGGGGAACCAGGACUUUUACCUUGAAAAAAUUAGAGUGUUCAAAGCAGGCCUUUGCUCGAAUACAUUAGCAUGGAAUAAUAGAAUAGGACAUCGGUUCUAUUUUGUUGGUUUCUAGGACCGCUGUAAUGAUUAAUAGGGAUAGUCGGGGGCGUCCGUAUUCAAUUGUCAGAGGUGAAAUUCUUGGAUUUAUUGAAGACGAACUACUGCGAAAGCAUUCGCCAAGGAUGUUUUCAUUAAUCAGUGAACGAAAGUUAGGGGAUCGAAGACGAUCAGAUACCGUCGUAGUCUUAACCAUAAACUAUGCCGACUAGGGAUCGGACGGUGGUUUUUUUAUGCCCCGCUCGGCACCUUACGANNNNNNNNNNNNNNNNNNNNNNNNNNNNNNNNNNNNNNNNNNNNNNNNNNCGCAGGCUGAACUUAAAGAAAUUGACGGAAGGGCACCACAAGGCGUAAACAGCCGUAGUUAACUCUGCGCCUGAAAGGCACCUAGACACAAAUAGGUUGUGGCCAGUCCUCCACCCUUGGGGUGGGAAUAAGCCUAGUUGAGCCUUACUGCUUCCCUGAAAGUGAACAGGGGCGACGGCGGUAAGGUUGGCGAGACCGUCAAAUUGCGGGGAAGCUUCAGAACCACUAACUACCGCUAAUCAUUCCGAAAGGUUGGUUGUGCACCCGGGUAACGCCCAGGGGUAUGGUCAUAAUGUUAGUGGUGGAGUUAUCCGCAGCUAAGCUCCUGCGGGGCGAUGAAUGCUUCACUGCCUACGGAGAAAGUCCAGAGACUAGACGGCGGUCGGUUCCAGGGAGCGAUGUUUCCAUAUCUGGAGCUUAAGGUAUAGUCCGCUUACUACAUUGCAUGUGCAACCGUUAAUAAAUGGGAGCCUGCGGCUUAAUUUGACUCAACACGGGGAAACUCACCAGGUCCAGACAUGCUUAGGAUUGACAGAUUGAUAGCUCUUUCUUGAUUGUAUGGGUGGUGGUGCAUGGCCGUUCUUAGUUGGUGGAGUGAUUUGUCUGCUUAAUUGCGAUAACGAACGAGACCUUGACCUGCUAAAUAGCCCGAUUGACUUUUGUCGGUCGCCGGCUUCUUAGAGGGACUUUUGGCUCAAGCCAAUGGAAGUACGAGGCAAUAACAGGUCUGUGAUGCCCUUAGAUGUUCUGGGCUGCACGCGCGCUACACUGACAGAGCCAGCGAGUACAUCACCUUGGCCGAAAGGUCUGGGUAAUCUUGUUAAACUCUGUCGUGCUGGGGAUAGAGCAUUGCAAUUAUUGCUCUUCAACGAGGAAUGCCUAGUAAGCGCAAGUCAUCAGCUUGCGUUGAUUACGUCCCUGCCCUUUGUACACACCGCCCGUCGCUACUACCGAUUGAAUGGCUCAGUGAGGCCUUGGGACUGGCUCAGAAAGGUCGGCAACGACCA
rnacentral:rRNA from 1 species